UUUUUUUUUUUUAGAAAAGUGAACUAUCAAAGUAUUGUAUUGGCAGUUUGGCAUGCCAUCAUUAAUUUGCAAACAACUAGUGGUGGCUCCAGGAAUUUGCAACCGGGUAUCCAUGUGUAUUUAUUUUGCCAAAAUCAUUGUUGUUUUUCGCAAAUUGUCACUGUUUUGCCAAAAUCAACACUGUUUUGUAAAAAUUAUGGGUAUUCACGUGAAGACCCAAGAAUACCCCGAGCGCUGCCCCUGCAAACAACGUCUCGUUUCGCUUCCUCCAUCACCUGAACGGCUCACGACCCUCCUCUGCUGUCUCCUCACUUAUCAGCAGCAAAUCGAUCGUCGAGAGCCUCCUCACCGAACAAAGCUCGAUCAAGGAAGGCCUGGAUGCAUGAAAGCAGGCCGGGCUCGGUUGAUCGUGAGGUGAGGACCGUCGACGUCGCUGAGCUGAAACUGCAGGCAUGUGCAGUCCUCACAUAUACUGUUUGAAGGGACGUACUCUUCUAGGAGUACUGCUGAAGAACACCUAGCUACUGGAAUGCUACGUACCCUUGCGGGUGGGAGGGCGAUGCUAUUGCUAGGUGCGUCGGGCUGCAGCGGGCGAUGAACAUGUUAAAUCAUGUCACCAUGCUAAAUCCUCUCACACUAUUACUCUUUGAUUCUUAUGCACUUCGUUUGCAUUUUUUGUUCAUCAGUUUUUUGAAUUAAACACAGGGCACUUGGAUGGUUAAAGUCAUCAUGUUAUGUCACGGCACUUGGAAUCUUCGGUCGACCAGGGCUAACUGAUUAGUGAUGACUGAUGAGAUGACCACACAUUUUGCUUGCUUGAUGGCAGGCGCUACCACUUCAGGUACGCUCUGUUCAUUGCUUUGUUUAUCAUCACCCUCACCACAAUGCCAGUGCACAGUUCCUGAUUCAUUUUGCGUACCUUAUCCUACAUUCAUGUAUCGUAUAUGGUGGAUGUGUUUUUCUAGCUUCAGACCAAAUUCUAUCGUAGUGAAAGAUCAUACAUAUUUUAAAAUUUCUGAAGCAUGAAACAUGCAUCUAACCUAAGUAGGAUGAAUUUGCUGACCGCCGAAUCAUUGUGAUGGUGUAAGGUGUGGUGACAAUCGGGCCAUGUCCAAGAAAAGGUGAGGACGGUACAGCAAUCAGUCGGUGACGAUGUCCGACGAGAAUUUUAGGCUGAAGUGCAACAUCAGCCUGGGCAGGGUCGCUGGCAAUCACCUGUGUCACAUCCUACUGAGGACCAGACUUGGAAAUCGAAGAAAUCACAAAUCUAGUACGGAGAUAAGCUCCUGAUGUGGAGACCCUUUGAGUAAUUGGGGAAUUUGCUACAGUAGCUAAGGAUAUAUCUAGGGGUUUGAUAGUUCAGUACAUUCGAUAUAUACCCACUCACUCGCACGCAGGCACUUAUACGAGUUACAACAGCGGUAAAUAACUAAUGAAAGUAAACAAUGAUUAAGCACGGCAAAAGUAACAGUAGUUUAGUUAAAAAUAAAAGUCUUCGGCUCCGAUCUGCCGUUCAUCUCGUCAUCGUCAACCUCCACCGUAGGAUCUUCUUAACUGUAGCGGAACUGGUACGCGUCAGUUAACUGAAUAACAUGACACUUGCAGAACAGGAUUCAGCUGAAAAUGCCCCCCCCUGAAGAACAUACUUGACUUCAAGUAUAACGCUGUGGGAACCAUGCUUUGAUGGUGCUUGCAAAGAAGUUGGGGAACACCCGUUUCAUGAAGUUUGCAUCUUCCCAAGUGGCUUCUUCUGGUUUGAGGUUCUCCCACUCCACUAGCCACUGAGUAACUAGAACUUCAUUAUUACUUCAGAGAGAUCUUAUUUCCAGAAUUGCUAGAGGCUCAGUCAUGAUUCUGCCAUCUUCACUCACCAAAGGUAGAUCUGAUCAUGGUACUGCGUGUGUGCCUAAGUGCUUCUACAGCUGACUGACAUGGAGCACACAACACAGUGUGAAUGACCACAUUCAGAGGCAUCAAAAUUUAUAAGCCCAACUGCCAAUUCUCUCUUAAAUUUUGCAGGGCCCAUAAAACUUGGUGGUGAGCUUGAUGGCUUGUCUGAUCCCAAAAGAUGUCGUUCUGUAUGGUUUCAAUCUAAGAUUAGACCAUAUCUAUUCUGAAGCUAAAAGUUGGCACUGGCUAAACAAAACAGAAGUAAUAGAAAAAGAAACAGAAAUCUUUCUGAACAAAAACAGAACGACAUUUUCGAAUGUUAGUUAUGCAGAGAAAUGAAAAGUUUGAAGGCACCAACGAAAAUUCCCAUGUGUCAUUUGUAUGUAGCCUACCCAGCUUAGCGCACUACACUCUUAGUCCAAACUAGCUCAAGCUACACAAAACCACACUCCGUAACCCUAUCCACUGAAACCUAAUCCAUGGUACUGUCUUGAUCCUCGGCCCUCCGAACUAGUACAAUCCUUCCACUCCUAUCCUCCAGGCAUGCUCACUGGCGACCUUCUGUUGGUUAGGUUACAUUUUUCUAUAUGCUCUAGAGGUUUUUGAGUUCUAGCAAACUUCCAUUUUUGUAUUUCAUGUUAGCAACAUAUAAUAUACUUUAUAUUCGUUUUUGGCUAUAUCCACUCCCAUAUUUGCUUCAUGAAUUUCCAGUGGUAUCAGUUUCCACUAAAAAAAGACGGAAACAACUCAGUUUCGUUCAUUUUCGUUUGGCUUCCAACCCCUACGUACUUGAGUUGACUAUAUGCCCUUACAUUUUCACUGCUAUAUUAUCAAAUGAAAGAUUCCCCUGCCACCCACGACAGACACACAAGCUUGUGCUUCGUAGGCGUCACCCGAUCAGACUUUUCCCGUUACCAUUUUGAGCGACAGUCGAUCCCGAGUGACCCGUUUUUGCACGAUGGAGGAGCGACCCGUGAUCGUGACUGUGUAGAGCAAAGAUGCAAACUCAGUGACCCCUUUUUGCAACAUUGAAAUACGCGUACAGCACUGAUGAUCACAGAAGGAAUUAUGUGCACCGAGUAGAACCAGGCUAUACAUAUUACAGUAUUCCAGAGUGAAUUUAUUCCACGGUGCUAACAGAUAAAGCGGGGGGUUAUAUAUUGAUCGAUACGGGACACACAAACUUGCAAGAACACAGAGGGCCGGAUGCAUGUGUUCUACUACAAGGUCACUGUGCAACGCGCACGUAUACGUACGUACGCGCAUAUAUGCACCUUCCUUUUGCUCACCAUGCAGGGACCAUGUUUAUUUACGAGCAAUUUAAUUGCUAUAUAUGCACGUAGGCGUGCAGAGCAACGGCAUGCACGUAGAGUUCGACGCAGGGUAGGCACUGGGCAGCAGUACUGCCUACCGUACGCACGUGUGCAUGGCUGCAUUUCGUCUCGAUCGUGUGCUCAGUUGUGGACCUCCGCCGGCGCCCGGUACAUGGGCUCCGGAACCUCGUCCGCGCGCGCACAGCAGCGGCAGCCAUGGUGAUGGAACAGCCCGUGGCCGCAGCAGCCCCAGUGACAUCCGCCGCCGCCGUAGCNNNNNNNNNNNNNNNNNNNNNNNNNNNNNNNNNNNNNNNNNNNNNNNNNNNNNNNNNNNNNNNNNNNNNNNNNNNNNNNNNNNNNNNNNNNNNNNNNNNNNNNNNNNNNNNNNNNNNNNNNNNNNNNNNNNNNNNNNNNNNNNNNNNNNNNNNNNNNNNNNNNNNNNNNNNNNNNNNNNNNNNNNNNNNNNNNNNNNNNNNNNNNNNNNNNNNNNNNNNNNNNNNNNNNNNNNNNNNNNNNNNNNNNNNNNNNNNNNNNNNNNNNNNNNNNNNNNNNNNNNNNNNNNNNNNNNNNNNNNNNNNNNNNNNNNNNNNNNNNNNNNNNNNNNNNNNNNNNNNNNNNNNNNNNNNNNNNNNNNNNNNNNNNUCCACCGUGUCCAGGGUAGCCGCCACCGCCGCCGUAGCCUCCUCCGCCGCCUGGGUAGCCGCCGCCGCCGCCGUAACCUCCACCGCCUUCCCCACCGUGGCCAGGGUAGCCGCCACCGCCGCCGUAGCCUCCGCCGCCGCCUGGGUAGCCGCCGCCUCCUCCUCCGCCGUAACCUCCUCCGCCUCCGCCAUAGCCUCCCCCGCCGCCUCCGUGCCCGUGGUGGCCUCCGCCAAAGUGGAAGAAGUUCUCUACGCCCGCUCCAUUCUCUUCCUUCUUGGCCUCUGCACGAACAGAAAAAGAAGGUGCAUGGAAAUUAGCAGCAGAACGCAGCAAAGCAAGUUUUUUCCUAGCCUAAUGACGAGAGCAAUUAAUUUAACUCCUGCCAGUUCAAAACUAGUCCGAGGAGUUAGUGCAUUAGCUCACCAGUGUGUUCAUCAGUCGAGGCGACGAGGAUAGCAGCAGCUGCAAGCAGGAGAGCGAACACAAGAAGACCCUUGCUGGAUGCCAUGCCUGGCAUCCGUGAUCCGUGCCUCACUGCCUCUUCUUCAGUGGUCGUAGUGGCUACUGGCUGGCCAGUGUGAUGGAUGAGAAUGAGAUAGAGAUUAGCAUGCAGAGCAGGCGAAUUUAUAGGAGGGAGAGGCCCAUGGAGGGCUUGGAUACGAUACGAUAGCUCGGGAUCACGAGGAGCUGUGAGCCUGUGACUGUGGGCGAGCUGAGGUUGGGUCCCCAUGGCCAUGGCGUCGUCAUCGGCCCGUGGAGAGGUGGUGGGUGGGAGAAGGACGGCACGCAUUAAUGAUCGAUCCCAGCAAUGUAGCAUGGAAGUAGCUAAGCUCCAAUGGCGUCGUCCGCGGGAGCACCAAUGGCGCCAGCCUCCCCUCUGACGCCGAGCAUAUUCUGGAUCGGAUGUCUUCUUCUGCAUGUGCAGUGCGCACUGCGGAUGCAGGGUGGGUGCUGCUCGCGCGACGCCAAGAUAAAGUUUGCAUCCACACGCACCAAUCUCAUUAAUCAGUCCUGGUAGAAGUUACACACGGGCGCAUGUGUAUCCAAAUCGGCCGAGCGGAUUCUGGAUCGGAUAGCGUGUUCUUCAUCUGGAAAACCGGACGUGGAGCAUUGCUGAACGUUCCCACGUAAGCUAUCUUCGCUUAGAGCAUCUCCAACAAAACUCCCAGUAAAAAUGGUUUUACGAGAUGCCCAUAACUUAGGGAAAUGAGGUGAUUUCUCAAUACAUAUUCCCCCUAAAUUAAAGUGAUAUUUUUGCAACAGUGGCGCCGGACAACGGGCGCCGGUGGUGGUCGGCGGCAGCGGCGGCUCAAUGGGUAUGGAGAUGACGCGCUGACAUGACACUUUUAUGGGAAGGGCCUCUUCCCCUAAAUGUACAAGAAAUUGGACAGAUUAUACGAAAUCCCGUAAAAACAUGUUUACGGAAUCUGUUGGAGCACUUUUUUUAUGGGAAAUGCUUUUGGUCUAUUCAUAAUCAAUCAUGGCAGCAUAGAGAAUACCCGAGGUAAUAAAAAAAUACAAACAUGCUCAUGUACCACCUAGCAAUGACUACCAGAGCGAGCUGAAGGCCGAAACUGAAGCAAUGCCCAAAAAUGGCCCAAAUUGACAGCAAAGUGAGCCCCGUUCGGAACGAAGACCUCAGCAGGCACGGAAACGUUGCUUGCCAUUGCCUCAAGAAUCUCUGGGGCUCUCUUUAGCUCUUGACCUCAAUUUUCAAAAGGUGCUGAUAUCAACGGACUGCCUGGCUACUGUCAAACACAUUAAGGAGCACUACCUGGGCGCUAGUAUGGUGGUGGUGGAGGAGAUCAAGUCCAAGCUCUUGAUGUUCAAUUCUUCAGACUUAAUUCAUGAAACUCAUGGCUGUAAUAAGGAAGCUCAUUCUCUUGCUAAAGCUGCAACUUCCUUCGCCCCGGGACGCCAUCUUUGGCUAACGGAAAGACCUGACAUAGUUUGUAUCCCUUUAUCUGUUGAGAUUUAAUAGAGCUGCUUUAGCCCUAAAAAAAAGCAGGCAUGGAAACAGGACAGGAAGUACUACUGGCGUAACAGUCUACACACAUGUUUAGUUCAGCAAAGGUUUCAGUAAAAAAGACAGAAGGUGAAGUCAGUUAGGUGUCUCCAGAUGGUACACCAGGGAGAGGAGGCUGUGGUGCAAUAUCAACCAAAUCAAUAUCACUAGAUCAAUCAUGGAGUAUAUUUUCAUAUUAGGUUGAUAUGAAUUUGCAGAUGUAAACAUUUUUCGCGCGCAGAGAAGUAUCAGUCUCUUACAAGAACCAGUGCGAAAAGAAAUCGCCCAUCCAUCGUUUCUGGCCACUGAGAGCAAAGUUUCGUUACAUCCAGUCGUAGAUCAAACAGCAAUGCUCUUUUUUUUAGAAGGGCAAAAGACAAUGCUCUUAAUUGCCAACAACAUAACUUGCUUGCCUUUCAUCAUAACUAAGAUGGCCAAUGCAGCCCUGGAUACAAAUUGCAGAUGUCAAACAUCCUCGUGUAUGGUUAACACUGAAAUCAACUGCACUGUGAUCUUUCUUCCUCAAGCAGAACGAUGAUCUCAUAUUGAAAAAUAUCAACCACUGGAGAGAUGCCAAGCCUUGACCAGUUUAACCCCUCACAAGCACAAGGCCCAAUUCAUUCACUAAGAAUUUGCUUUGGGACAUGCCAGGGAAUGUGAAAGUUGGUGCUCAAGGUUAGCGAAUCAAGCAGAGAGAAACCAGCCAUUAGCCCAGCACUACCUGGCCACGCAGGCAUCCACUUAACUGAUGGAGUAAUCUGGUGAGAAACAUCUCGUCUUUUGGUACAUCCUCCUGUAUAUGGUCGCUCCUUCCAGCUCAGCAUGGAUUUCCCUCUCUGUCCGUAUUCCCAUAGGGUUGUCCAGAAGCCAACCUUCGUCGUCACACUGAAGAUCUUUAUCAAUACGAUCAGCAUGCUCAAACACAUCCGCGUAUCCAUCAAACCUUUCUCUCAUGUCUGUAGCUACAUCAAGCACAUCUGAUUGUACAAGCACCUAUAUCAAUGAAAUAAAGUGAGAUGUCAACUUGCCAAAGAGUACUUGACCUGCCUUUGAAUGUUAAACUCCCUACAUAAUCAACACUAGCCUUUGUCGAAGAUAAAGAAAAGGGAAUGUCUGAAUAGUAAUUUUGCACUGGAGCAUAUUAACUUGUAUCACUCUAUGACCUAUAUAAUGCAUAGAGGCUGGGAAAUUAUUAUCAGAGAAGCAAUAAUAACUAAGAAUAUAUGUGGUCCAACUGACAACAUGAAGGCAAGAAUAAGCUUUAAACAUACAAAUCGAGUGGAUAAUACAUGGCAUCUCAUAGAGAUGUUGAAAUUAAGCCAGAUAUAUAUGGUUAAUAUAUCCUCAAUUGAUGUACUUUAGGAUCCCUCAAGAACAUUAUUCUGUAAUUAGGACUAUUUUUAAAUGAUAGAUGUUUCACGCCUGCAACAUGCUUUACCACUUUUUUCUAGGACACUUUUUCAGGGUUCAGUCAAUAAAACAUCCAUCAUACCAUCAUACAGCUAGAACUAACAAAACAGUGACUGGCCAAAGCUAAACAGUCAUUGGACAAAUCUGAUGCAUACAGAAGGACCCUGACCCCAUGCAGAUUGUUAGUUUAACAGAGAAUAGUUUGCAUGAAAAUGGUAGAGAAUUGUCAUACCCGCCCACCCAGACAAAGGUUCUUUGUGAUCGAAUCCACCAAUGGUGUCUGUAGAACUCUUCUCUUGUGAUGCCUUUUCUUAAAGUGAGGAUCAGGACACUGCAGAAAAGAUGAUUGCACCUCAGCUGUCAAUUCCAUAACAUCAACUAAAACAAAAAACUAAGCCAGCAUAAGCACAAGGACAUAUCGUAUACAACUUAGAACAUUUGUGGAACUGUGCUCAGCUACACUCACCAGUAUUGAAACAAGCGAUAGGGGACCAGGGUAUGAUAACACAAUUUGCUCGAAAGACACCGUUGCAUUUGCAAACAUAAAGUAACUGUGCCAAGGGAGCAAUUUCAAACACUAUUAAAUUGUUCUGAUAGCACGAAGCCCUCAAAUGUCCAUAUGUGAGAAAGAUCUGAGGUGUAGCUUACACAUUUCUAAGCCCCAAUUCUGUUACCCAGAACUGUGUCCGCUCGACCAACUAGACAAGCAAAACAAGCAGAGCAUUAUGACCACACCAAAAAUCACACAUUGAGAACCAUGAUUAAACAAACCAUAGAAGCACAAGAACCUUCUGCCGGAUUUCCAGUCCGAGGUAAUUCCGCCUUUCACCGGAGUUCUUUGCUAACCAAACCAAGAAUCUCCCACUCCCUGCACAUGAAAAAAAAAUCCCCUAAUAACUGAGGCUCAAGGAAAUCUAUCAGCACAAUGGGGAUGCAAUGGAAGGAGACGUAUGCCCACCGCAGCCGAUGUCGACCAUGAGGGGCAGCAGGGGGUCCUCGAACACCUCCGUCCAUUCAGGCGGCUCCGUGGGUUCCUGCAGGCAGAACAGAGUAAGAAUCGACGGAAGGGGAGGAGGCCGCGCCGGCGUUCGCCGUCGGGAUCUUGAAGAUUGUGGUACAGGCUUACGACGAACAAGGCGCUGAGCGGAUUCACGUGCUGCCGGAUGCGAAGGUGAUGGCCCCGCUGCAUACACCAAAACAGAUUGGUGGGCGGUCAGGCUGGUACGCUAUUUCGAAAAAGAGACGGAGGUUGAAGACGGGGAGGAUAGAUGGGGUUGGGGCGGACAUUGGGGUAGAGGGGGCGGAGAUUGAGGUCCGCGUACUCCCUGUCCACCGCGUCGGUGCUCCGCGCGGCGGAGCACAAGGUCCGGCGCCGAGCGCGGCGACGGACGGGGGGCGCGCGGACGAGGCGGCAGCACAGGGAGGCCGCGGCCGUCCAAGCCAUUCUGGCGGCGCUUCCGGCUGGAGCUCCAGCCGCGGCGCUGCCUGCUCGACACCAAAUGGGUUAUCUUUUUCUUUUAGUCGGCGAAGGGGUUAUCAAGGGGUGGAAAUGUUCGAGGAAAUUCUUUUUAGGAAAACAGAGAGCUUUUUUUUAUCGCGUAUAAGAGCUAUUCUGCUAUUGUUACUACUCACACUAGAAGGACUUUUUUUUUGUCAAAUACUACCUCCGAACCAAAAUAUUUAAAUCUAGCGAAACGUCUUAUAUUUUAAUACGAAUGGUGUACAUGAAAAAUACUAGUCGGUGCACCUGCCAAAAGGAAAGAAUCUUCAAGUUUUCUGGCAUGAGCUCCCAAAGCGUGUGCCUUCCAUUGCUCUUUUUUUUCAAACAAAAGUGCUUAGUUUAGCCUUUUGUUUCCUCUGUGCUGCAUCUUCUUUAAAAAUUCAUCCAAUGAAAUCCCAACUCCCUUUGUUUUGGAUAUCCUUUUCUAAACUAUACUAUGAAUCUAAUCUUUUGAAAAAAAACUCUUCACUUGAAUUUUAGAACUUAGAAUUUAUUACCCUAGAAAAAAAACCUAAUCCUUUGAAUCUUUGGUAUGCUAUCAUUCUUCCUCACAACGCAACUCUUGAAGCUGCUAAUAACAAUUCUGUUAUUCCAGUUUCCCCUCUCGCUAGGAUCCCUAUCCUCUCGGCGCCCUUCAUCGACGCCGCGUUGAGUCUCCCUCCUCCAAUCCCACGGUUGUCCCUUCACUCGGGGUGAACAAGGGGCACUCUUGUAGUGCUGCCGAGCCUUCGUUUAGGGCUCGUGUGGGUUAGGGUUUCCCCGUGUUUUGUUAUGAGGAUAGGGAUCAUGGCGACAUAGCCAUUGAAUUCGGUACGAAAGAUCAGGACGAUUUGUAAGCGAUGAUACAGGUGCUUGGCUUGGCUGAUGAGGACCUUGAUGAUGUCGUUUUCGAGUCGAAAGAACCAUCACCGACAGAAGCAACUCAUGGGCUAGCUAUUGCAUGAGUAAACACAGAUGAAGAGUAUUGUAAAUUAUGAUUAUAUAAAAACAUGAGAUUGGCAUGGGAUCUCACUCCAACUCAGGUCAGUGGAUGAAAAUCUAUACAAAAUGCAACCGGUUUGUCUAAUUCACAUCUAGAUAUUUUUUAAGGAUGCCACAUCUAAGCUCCCACAAAUAUAUAAUGCAGCAACAAGAAAAAAAACUAGGACAAAAAAAAAAUAGAUCACAAACAGAGUGGACAUCAGCUUAGAUGUGUCCUGAACAGACCCAAAUGCAAUUGUCUUGCCUAGGGAAAUGAGAGAAAGUCGUGAAAAAGGACUUUGGACCAAUAGGAGAUUUGAUGCCAUUCUUGUGACAUACCGAAAAAGGCUUUCGCCCCACUUUAUAUAUAAAGCAAACCACCACAGCCACAAAGUUCAACAUAAGUUCACACACACAGGGUAGCACCACAAGGGGAGAAGCUAAUCCGGCUCAGGUGGUGGAGGAGGGAGCGGCGGCGCCAAGCAAAGAGCCAUCACGCGAAGGUCGGCAAUGAUGAUGUUGAUGGCAUCCCGGUCUUGGUGGCGGCUAAGCACCCGCCAAAGCUACAAAUAGCCACACAUUUUGAACACCGCGUCAAUAGCAUGUCGACGAGGCACACGCUAGAUCACAAGCUUAUUUCGAACCGUUCAAAGCGUCCACGCUAGGACCCCAAUAGCCAGCCACCUAAUGUGGCGGCCCGUUGGAGGCAAGGGCUAGAUCUCGGCGAAGAGGUCUGGAAAGUUGGUGUUACACCAACGACCACCAACCACCUUUACAAAAUCCAUCACAAUUGCCUUGAACCAUAUAAAUAUUUGGGUGCAGAUACAUGAUCUACCGGAUGGGUUUGCAUCAAUGCUUAAGUCCCUGAUAGUAAAGUGGAAGAGGUUCUAUAUGCGGAACCAUGAUCUUACGACUUUUGAGUGGAGCCAAUAAUGGAAUAUUGUUUCUAAGGUUAUACUCUUGUUACGCGUCUGUCUGCGAUUGGGAUACAUAUGUAUGACAAGUAGGGGCAAGGAGCGACCCAAUCGACACUUGGAGCGAGCCAAGUGCGACAUCGCAAAAGGUGAAAUCGGUGAGGUGUCUCCGUGUGUGGCACCACAAGAAGGAGAGGUGGCUGGUGCAAGGGCAGCCAGUCGAGAGAGGACAUGGAAAAGCUAGCAGUUCCUCGAGAACACGUAGAAUCUCAUCUUGAACCCCUCUCUUUUGUAUACUUUGACGACUUGUUGUCUCCUUCUUUGAUCGAUUAUAUGCUUGGGUAAAUACUACUCCCUUUGAACUAAAAUCACGACACUUAUUUUGGAUCGCAGGAAGUAAUAACUGUCUAAACCAUUUGCUACUCAUGUGCAUGGACUGACUGUUAAUACCAGCAGCUUACAAAUUUUACAACAGUAUAAUUAAUGGAUCUUUCUGCCAUUGCAAUAGAAAAGCUGGAAAAUACAUUAGCAUGUGCAACUAGUGCAAUAUCAUGUGAAACUGCAAAAUUUCAUUGGAAUACAUACUUUUUUGCUAGAUGUGCAAAAACAACUAAUUCAGACCAGUGUAGACUGGAGUUGUCCUAUAUCAACCCUUUUCUUUCUUUUUCAAUGCAAAGGCUUGAAAGAAAACCAUUUCUCUUCUAAACAAACUUAAACAGUACAAUAGUUAUUACCCCUAUCAGUUGCAAACAUUUUAGAAUUUUUUUGAGAGCUCAAUAAACAUUUUGAUUAUUUUUUGUUCAACAUAGGGUGCAUAAAGAAAAAGAAUCCUCCUACACCGGGUUAUUCGAAUAUUGCCUGAUCCUAGGAGCCGUAAAAAUAACUCUUGCUCUGCAAAUACUAGGAGAAGCAAAUGUAAUACUCCCUCCUUCGGAAUUACUUGUCGAGAAAAUGGAUAGAAAUAUAUGUAGAUACAUCCAUUUCCGCGACAAGCAAUUCCGGACGGAGGGAAUAUUUGAAAAGGGUGCAUGUUCAACAUAUAUGUGGCUUAACAUAAAUAUUGCUGAAGCGUGCAACGUGGUAAGCUCCAUCGAGGCAUGCAAUCGCUGGCACUAGAUAAUGCUAUGCUGGAGAAAAGAAGAAGCACAAACAUUAUUAGGUCCAUCUUAAUUUUGACCAGCAAGAGAAGCCUCGUGCCACUGCUCUUCAAUGUAAGCCAUUGGCGUAAGUACUUAACAUGGCAUCACUUGGACAACAUUGGUUGAGAACUUGAGAUACUUAAAAAUUUAAUAUUCAGACCAGCCGACCAAAAGGAGUCAGUACCACAUUUGAAGGCAAUAGAAACCAUGCUAGGAAUUACAUCAGAGACUGCACCACUUCAAGUCUGUAGCUCCACUACAGUGGCAAAACAACAGGAGGUAGCAUAGAUUGAAGCCAUUAAGCAAGAUCCUGAAAGCAGAUAGGAGUUGGUCGGCGUGGGAGAGGACGAUCUUGUUAAUGAGCACCCUUAAUCCGCAGAUAAUCAUGUCAACACACUGCUUUGGCCCUGCAGGCAGAGGAGGUAAAACAUGACCAGUUUCAGUCAUUUACAGAUAUGAAGGCCCUGUUCGGAGUCACUCCAACUCCUAAAAAUACGAGGAGCUGGAGCAUCUCUUUCCCAGCUUCGUGCCUUUUGACUCCAGCUUCGAGAGCAGAGUGGUGGAGUGGUGGGUCUCCGAACAGGGCUGAAGUCUGUCCUUGUAAAUACAGAGAAAAAUGCACGAAAUAACCAGACUACUGGAGUGCAGGCUAAAAUGUUUACAAAGAAAAUCUGAGCAUAUUCAGCCAACUAUUGGAGUGCAGGCACACCCAGACUUCAGUGGACUAGAAAAACAGUAUAGCAUCUGAUAAGAAAAACAGUAUAGCAUCUGACAUGUAUAUCGUGUAGACCAAAGUUGAUGGUAUGGACGACUUGUAUAUAAAAUAAAUGGGUUUUAGUGCCCUUGGCCUGCAUUAAAAGGGAAACUGAACCUAAGAAAAAGAGUAGCAUAAAAAACGAAGAACACUGCUGAAGUAUGCGGACCAUCACAGUGCCGAUUUUUCAGCAAACAAAGAAGGCAGAACCAAGCUAAAACUAAGUCAACUUGAACAUAUAUUACCAUGUCAUUGACACAUUUCUACCAUUACUGCUUUACUUUAAGAUCAAAAUAAAGGUACAGGCCUAAAUGGUGAGUUUAGACUUAUAAACUGUACAACCAUAAAACAACAUUUUGCAACUAUUGAGUAUGCUAACCAUGCACCAUACCUGCUUACCAGAUCAGCAUUGCAUUCGAUAGAAGGAUAUGCCAUGAACAUGUUGUUUACUUUUGUGCACCAAUCGACACUUGGAGUGACACCAUCUGACAGCCUCACGGUCACCGUUUUAAGCAUUGGAGCACAUCUAAAUAUCACUUUCAAGAAAUCAAACUCGUGAUCUUCCCCGCCGACGCCUUCAAUUUCCAUGUUUUCAAGAUCAGCCAAGGUGAUAGUUUCUGUUCUCCAGUUCUUAGGCUCAUCACAGAGGCAAUUUACUGGGCAUGCAUCUUUCACCUAAACGAAUGUGAAUUACAGAAAGAAAUUAUGGAUGCUCCACUGUUGGGACAUUUGUUCAAGAAUGUACCUCGAACUUAUUGGCUGAACAUGUACUGCAUAUAAAUAUAUAUUCCAAAUGCAUAAGCACAACGUACGAUAAAUUACCUCUGAUCUUAGCAGGACAAUCUUAAGGUUCCGUAAAGCUGUACGAAUCUGAUGCAUCCCAAGGAGAUGCAGCACAAAAGCUCCAAACACAUGGCCCUUGGUGCUGAGAUGUAGGUCCAGACCAGAGAAGUUGGUAACCAUAUGUUUAUCGAUCUCUGCCUCAAAGCUGAGCUCUGCAUUUGGAAAGCUAACUGAAUCCUGCAACAACAAACAGUUCGACAAGACAUCCCGGAUAAGUUCAAUCUCGCCGGUAAUUGCAAUAAAUUGAACAAGCAGGAAUUUGCUUUAUAAUAUAAAGUGGGGGAAACCCUUUAUCGUAAUUGAACAAGCAGGAAAGGAGACAUAUAUACCUGGACGGCAGAUAUGUGUAGGGACAGGACAUGGACGCUAGGGAGCUGUACACAGGCGUCUCUCCCGGAGUCUGUCUCUUGGGUGUUGAAGCCCAUCUCUGAGAGGCCCCAAAGACCAAGCCCAUAGAUCGGCUUGGCAUACGAGCACCGCCACCAGACCUUGUCCAGCAUUGGGGCCAAGAUGGACACCCCGAUGUUGCCGCAGGCAUGGAAGGACGCUGUCAAUUGCUUAAGCACAGGGGAGUCGACGCUGAUGCUGAUAUGGGUGCGGCCGGUCCAUCUGUUGCCGUGCUCCACGACGAGCUCCUCCAGCGACGCGGAGUGGACCGUAAUGUUGCUCAUGUCUAUCAGACCGGUGGUGUUCAGCCGGAGCACGCGCAGGCGCGGGCAGAACGGGAUGAAGGUGGCCAGAUCGAUGUGGCAUCCCGAAAGGCAGAGUCUCUCCAGCGAGCGGAAGGGGACAUACCAGCCACUGGCCGCACAUGGCUUUGCGAACACGGCUAAGUGGAGGGCCCUCGCGCGCAGGUCCAUGGAGGUGGCGCGGUGGAAGCUGGGCAGUGUCGCCUCCAUGCAGGAGACUUGCAGGUUCCGCGGGAGAGUGAGGCGCAGCUCCACCGGCGAGAGGCUCGCAGCGUCCCGGAGAAACGAGGAGAAGGUCCCGGCGCCGAUCAUGCCGGCCUGGCCAGCGACGCGGAUGUUGAGGUGGUAGAUGUACACACCGGGACGAGCGGCGCGGUGGAGCGCGGCCUGGAUCGAGCCGAAUGGGAGGUCGCGGAGGCUGAGGGUGAGGCUGGGGAGCCGGGUCCAGAGGCCGCGCCACCGGCGGGAGAGGAGGCUGGUGCCCGCGGCGGCGCGGGCGGAGCCAAGACGCUCGAGGAUCUCCAGAAGCAGAUCCUCCGGGAGGACGCUGAUGAGGUCGGCCGGACGUUGGGAUCUUUUACUCGACCUCCCCAUGGAAAAACCCCGAUGCAACUCAAACGGCGGGUAGCAAAUAGCAAAGGCAAAUGCAAGGGAAGGGGAAGAGGAAGGAAGCGCAAGCGACUGGGCCGAUGCGCAGUGGAGAAAUAAUAAAAUAAAAAGAAAUUAAGAAAUGAGGAAAAAGUCUCUUAGGCAGAGAAUGAGCUGCUCGUGGUGGAUAAAUAAUAAAAGAAAAAGAUGUUGGAUUUUGUUUUCUGUUUUUUACCAGACCUUAGCGAAAUGGGCGAAAUUCGUCAUUUCGGAAAAUUUUAGGAGAACUCCGGACGAAAAGAGAAAACCAAAAUUUGAAAUUUGGAACGAAAAAUGGCCGAAAUUUGAACGAUAAUGACAGAAAUUUGUCAAUCCUAUUGAAAUCAGGUAGAACAAGACUAUUUCACAGAAAUUGUGGCCACGCUCGAUGUUGUUGGCGCCGCCGCCGGCUCAGUCGACGCCCAAGUGCAGCCUUGACCUCAUGUGGCCUCGAUCCACGACCGCCGACGACAGGUUCGCCUCAUGCAUGGGCACUGUCACGGCUGCGCUCUACAACCUCCAUGGGAAGGAGAAGGAGUGCUUGAGCCUUGAGCAGGUGGGUUGUUACUGUGUUGGAGGAGGAGGAGGCUGGGCAGAGGCGAAGGUUGUGUUGACUACAACCGCCGCAGAAGGGAACGGAGAGAGGAAACGUGAAACUAGGGUUGGGGUUGGUUCAACUUGAGUUUUUAUACCAAAAAGAGGUGCGUGGGCUACUUUGGGCCGGGCUCAAAGUUCUUCAAAGGUCGUAAUAUUUGACUAGGCUAUACUCAUACCGGGCCGUGGUGAAAAGGGCGAAUUCCGGACGAAAUUCGAAGAUUCCGGACGAAAUCCAAAACCAUGCUCUGGCCCGUUUUGGAGGAAGAAAUUAAGAAAGUUAUUCUUGAAUUCUAUAUUGAUAGAGCCCUAAUGGGAUCCCUUUCUUUUUCUAGCAACAUUUUCCGGAAGCUAAUCAAGCAUGUAUGACCUAUUUAGGAUGUUUGAAGACUUUCAUAAAGUGGAACUCGAUAUCUUUUAGACUAAAUUUUGCCACGUUAACUCUCUGAUCUACUAUAUAAAUAGGAUGCCUCACUACCUUAUUUCUCUUGACAUGCAAGCUAUCUACAUCAACAAUCAUCAUGCACCCAUCCAUCUCAACAAAUCUGCCAUGUCAACACAUUUUUUCCUUUCAUUUUUCUGUAUCCUUUCAACCAUUCCACAUCUUAUUUUAUAUCCCACUAUCUAAUUUUUCUAUGUUAUCUACGUUUAGCCACCGACAUGUCCAUGAAUUGUCACAUUUACUCUCUGCUCAUGACUUGUCUCCUAGCCAAAAUUGCAGCCAAUGAGUACACAUGAAACUGACGAAGACAUUCAUACUAUAUCUAAAUAGGAGUCCCCCACUAUCUUAUUUCUCUUGACAUACAAGCUAUCCACAUCAGCAAUCAUCAUGCAACCAUCGCCGUCAACAAAUCUGCCACGUCAUCAAGGUUUUUCCUUUUAUUUUUCUGUAUACUUUCAGCCAUUUCACAUCUUUUUUUAUAUCCCAGUACCUUAUUUUCCUACCUUCUCUACUUUUAGCCACUGGCCCGCCCAUGAACUGUCACAUUUACUCUCUGCUCAUCACUUGUCUCCUGGCCAGAAGUGCAGCCACCGAGUACACAUGAAACUGACGAAGGCAUUCAUAUUAUAUUUAUAUCUAAAUAGGAGUCCCCCACUAUCUUAUUUCUCUUCACAUGCAAGCUAUCCACAUUAGCAAUCAUCAUGCAACCAUCGACCUCAAAAAAUCUGCCACAUCAUCAAGUUUUUUCCUUUUAUUUUUCUGUAUCCUUUUAGUCAUUCCACAUCUUUUUAUAGCCCACAACCUUAUUUUCCUAUCUUCUCUACUUUUAGNNNNNNNNNNNNNNNNNNNNNNNNNNNNNNNNNNNNNNNNNNNNNNNNNNNNNNNNNNNNNNNNNNNNNNNNNNNNNNNNNNNNNNNNNNNNNNNNNNNNNNNNNNNNNNNNNNNNNNNNNNNNNNNNNNNNNNNNNNNNNNNNNNNNNNNNNNNNNNNNNNNNNNNNNNNNNNNNNNNNNNNNNNNNNNNNNNNNNNNNNNNNNNNNNNNNNNNNNNNNNNNNNNNNNNNNNNNNNNNNNNNNNNNNNNNNNNNNNNNNNNNNNNNNNNNNNNNNNNNNNNNNNNNNNNNNNNNNNNNNNNNNNNNNNNNNNNNNNNNNNNNNNNNNNNNNNNNNNNNNNNNNNNNNNNNNNNNNNNNNNNNNNNNNNNNNNNNNNNNNNNNNNNNNNNNNNNNNNNNNNNNNNNNNNNNNNNNNNNNNNNNNNNNNNNNNNNNNNNNNNNNNNNNNNNNNNNNNNNNNNNNNNNNNNNNNNNNNNNNNNNNNNNNNNNNNNNNNNNNNNNNNNNNNNNNNNNNNNNNNNNNNACAAGGAGGCCGCGGGCGUCCAAGCCAUUCUGGCAUCGAUUCCGGCUGGUGCUUUAGCGGCGGCGCUGCCUGUUCCACACCCACUCGAAGGGGUUAUAUUUUUUCUUUUUAGUUGGCGAAGGGGUUAUCAAGGGGUGGAAAUGUUAGAGGAAAACCUUUUUUAGGGAAAACAAUGUUUUCUUUGGGGUAAGAGCUAUUAUACAUCAAGAAUACUAGUCAGCACACUUGUCAAAAGGAAAAUAUCUCCCGCUCCAUUGCUCUCUCUACCAGUUUUCCAAACAACACAACUCUUGAAGCUUGCUAAGAGCAUCUCCAGCCGUUCGGCCCCCCAGACGCCGAAAAAGCGCCGUCUGGGACCGAACCGGCGUUUAAUUUCAGCAUGGGGGUGAUUGUGUUCUCCCAGUCGCCGCCCCCAGGUCACACCCAAAUUGGCGCAAACACGGCACAAACUCGGCAAUUUGAUUCAAAUUUGUACAAACACUGCACAAACUCGGCGAUUUCAUUCAAAUUUGUACAGAAAACAGAAAACUAGCCCUACUAUGCCGCUGCCGUCGUCCGCCUUCUAUAUGCCGAGGAGCCUGUAGAACCGGGUGUGGUCGCCGCCGCCCUGCAUCCCGCCGGAGCCGCCGCCGUCCCUGCUGCACCCCUGACAAGGGUCGCCGACGCGCGGGGGUUGGACGGCCCGGACGCGUUCUGCUCGUCGUCGCUAUCGAGGACGACGAUGAUACGUCUCCAACGUAUCUAUAAUUUUUUAUUGCUCCAUGCUAUAUUAUCUACUGUUUUAAAUGUUUAUGGGCUUUAUUAUCCACUUUUAUAUUAUUUUUGGGACUAACCUAUUAACCAGAGGCCCAGCCCAGAUUUACUGUUUUAUGCCUAUUUCAGUGUUUCGAAGAAAAGGAAUAUCAAACGGAGUCGAAACGGAACGAAAUCAACUGGAGAAUUUAUUUUUGGAAGGAAAGCCACCAGAUAGACUUGGACUCUACGUCAGAAGAUAUGGGAGCUGGCCACGAGGGUGGGGGUGCGCCCCCUGCCUCGUGGGGCCCCCGAAGCUCCACUGACGUACCCCUUGCACCCAUAUAUACCUACGUAUUGUAAAACUUCCAGAACAAAGAUUAGAUCGGGAGUUCCGCCGCCAGAAGCCUCCGUAGCCACCAAAAACCAAUCUAGACCUGUUCCGGCACCCUGCCGGAGGGGGGAUCCCUCACCGGUGGCCAUCUUCAUCCGCUCUCCAUGACAAGGAGGGAGUAGUUCUCUCUCGGGGAUGAGGGUAUGUACCAGUAGCUAUGUGUUUGAUCUCUCUCUCUCUCUCUCGGUGUUGUUGAUUUGGCACGAUCUUGAUGUAUCGCGAGCUUUGCUAUUAUAGUUGGAUCUUAUGUUUCUCCUCCCCCUCUUCUCUUUUGUAAUGAAUUGAGUUUCCCCUUUGAAGUAAUCUUAUCGGAUUGAGUCUUUAAAGAUUUGAGAACACUUGAUGUAUGUCUUGCCGUGCGUAUCUGUGGUGACAAUGGGAUGCCACGUGAUUCACUUGAUGUAUGUUUUGGUGAUCAACUUGCGGGUUCUGCCCAUGAACCUAUGCAUAGGGGUUGGCACACAUUUUCGUCGUGAUUCUCCGGAGGAAACUUUGGGGCACUCUUUGAGGUCCUAUGUGUUGGUUGAAUAGAUGAAUUUGAGAUUGUGUGAUGCAUAUCGUAUAAUCAUACCCACGGAUACUUGAGGUGACAUUGGAGUAUCUAGGUGACAUUAGGGUUUUGGUUGAUUUGUGUCUUAAGGUGUUAUUCUAGUACGAACUCUAGGGCUGUUUGUGACACUUAUAGGAAUAGCCCAACAGAUUGAUUGGAAAGAAUAACUUUGAGGUGGUUUCGUACCCUACCAUAAUCUCUUCGUUCGUUCUCCGCUAUUAGUGACUUUGGAGCGACUCUUUGUUGCAUGUUGAGGUAUAGUUAUGUGAUCCAAUUAUGUUAGUAUUGUUGAGGGAACUUACACUAGCGAAAGUAUGAACCCUAGGCCUUGUUUCCUAUCAUUGCAAUACCGUUUACGCUCACUUUUAUCAUUAGUUACCUUGCUGUUUUUAUAAUUUCAGAUUACAAAUACCUUUAUCUACUAUCCAUAUACCACUUGUAUCACCAUCUCUUCACCGAACUAGUGCACCUAUACAAUCUACCAUUGUAUUGGGUGUGUUGGGGACACAAGAGACUCUUUGUUAUUUGGUUGCAGGGUUGUUUGAGAGAGACCAUCUUCAUCCUACGCCUCCUACGGAUUGAUAAACCUUAGGUUAUCCACUUGAGGGAAAUUUGCUACUGUCCUACAAACCUCUGCACUUGGAGGCCCAACAACGUCUACAAGAAGAAGGUUGUGUAGUAGAUAUCAAGCUCUUUUCUGGUACCGUUGCUGGGGAGGCAAGGAAAGUGGCACUAACACACCCCGUAAGCUCUUUUCUAGCGCCGUUGCCGGGGAGGCAAGGAAAGUGGCACUAACACACCCCGUCAACUAAGCUCUUUUCUGGCGCCGUUGCCGGGGAGGUGAGUGCUUGAAGGUAUAUCUUUAGAUCUUGCAAUCGAGUCUUUUAGUUUCUUGUUUUAUCACUAGUUUAGUUUAUAAAAGAAAACUAUAAAAAAUGGAAUUGAGUUUGUCUCAUACGCUUCAUCUUUUUAAUAUCUUUCGUGAGUAUGAUGGAAAGGAUAAUUGUGCUCAAGUGCUAGAAGAAGAAAUCUAUAAAAUGUUUGGCACUAAAUAUUUGGAUGAUGAGCAUGAUUGCAAUGUUGUUAGUAUGAAUUUCUUGAAUAUCCAUGAUGCUAAUGAUAUGCAAAGCCACAAGCUUGGUGAAGCUAUGUUUGAUGAAGAUGAUAUCUUUUGUUCCCUAAGCUUUGAUGUGCAAAUUUAUUAUGAUGAAAGCAUGCCUUCUAUCUAUGAUGAUUACUGUGAUGACACGUAUGCUUUCAAGAACAAUGAUAACCAUGAAACUUGUCAUCUUGAUCUUAAUUUUCAGUCACAUGACAGUUAUUUUGUUGAGUUUGCUCCCACUAUUAUUCAUGAGAAGAAUUUUGCUUAUGUGGAGAGUAGUAAAUUUUCUAUGCUUGUAGAUCAUGAAAAGAAUGCUUUAUGUGAUGGUUAUAUUGUUGAAUUCAUUCAUGAUGCUACUGAAAAUUCUUAUGAGGGAGGAACAUAUGCUUGUAGAAAUUGCAAUAAUAUCAAGCUUCCUCUCUAUGUGCUUAAUAUCUUGAAGCUAUGCUUGUUUUACCUUCCUAUGCAAGUUGAUUCUUGUUCCCAUAAGUUGUUUGCUCACAAAAUACCUAUGCAUAGGAAGUAUGUUAGGCUUAAAUGUGCUAGUCAUAUUCUUCAAGAUGCUCUCUUUAUGUUUCAGUUCUUAUCCUUUAUGUGAGCAUCAUUGAAAUCAUCGUGCCUAGCUAGGGGCGUUAAACGAUAGCGCUUGUUGGGAGGCAACCCAAUUUUAUUUUAGUUCCUUGCUUUUUGUUCCUGUUUAGUAAUAAAUAAUUCAUAUAGCCUCUGUUUAGAUGUGGUUUUAUGCUUUUAAUUAGUGUUUGUGCCAAGUAGAACCUUUGGGAAGACUUGGGGAAAGUCUUGUUGAUCAUGCUUUAAAAAACAGAAACUUUAGCGCUCACGAGAAUUGCUGCCAUUUUUAUUUAGAGAGCUCUAUUUAGUUAAUUAUCUUUGAAUAUGAUUAAUAGAUAAAUUCCUCAGGUCCAGCAAUUUAUUUGAGAAUUUUAUGUGUUCCAGAAGUAUACGUUUGAUCCAGAUUACUACAGACUGUUCUGUUUUUGACAGAUUCUGUUUUUGAUGUGUUGUUUGCUUAUUUUGAUGAAUCUAUGGCUAGUAAAAUAGUUUAUAAACCAUAGAGAAGUUUUAAUACGGUAGGUUUAACACCAAUAUAAAUAAAGAAUGAGUUCAUUACAAUACCUUGAAGUGGUGAUUUAUUUUCAUAUACUAACGGAGCUUACGAGUUUUCUGUUAAGUUUUGUGUUGUGUAAUUUUCAAGUUUUGGGUAAGGAUUCGAUGGACUACGGAAUAAGGAGUGGCAAGAGCCUAAGCUUGGGGAUGCCCAAGGCACCCCAAGGUAAUAUUCAAGGAUAGCCAAGAGCCUAAGCUUGGGGAUGCCCUGGAAGGCAUCCCCUCUUUCGUCUUCGUUCAUCAGUAACUUUACUUGGAGCUAUAUUUUUAUUCGCCACAUGAUAUGUGUUUUGCUUGGAGCGUCAUUUUAUUUUCUUUAGUUUUGCUUGCUGUUUGAAUAAAGUACCAAGAUCUGAUAUUAUUAAAUGGGAGAGUCUUCACAUAGUUGCAUAAUUAUUCGACUACUCAUUGAUCUUCACUUAUAUCUUUCGGAGUAGUUUGUUGUUUGCUCUAGUGCUUCACUUAUAUCUUUUAGAGCAUGGUGGUAGUUUUAUUUUGAAGAAAUAGAUGAACUCUCAUGCUUCACUUAUAUUAUUUUGAGAGUCUUAAAUAGCAUGGUAAUUUGCUCAAAAUCCUAAUAUGCUAGGUAUCCAAGAAUAAUAAAAUUCUCUUAUGAGUGUGUUGAAUACUAUGAGAAGUUUGAUACUUGAUAAUUGUUUUGAGAUAUGGAGAUGGUGAUAUUAGAGUCAUUCUAGUUGAGUAGUUGUGAAUUUGAGAAAUACUUGUGUUGAAGUUUGCGAUUCCCAUAGCAUGCACAUAUGGUGAACCGUUAUGUGAUGAAGUCGAAGCAUGAUUUAUUUAUUGAUUGUCUUCCUUAUGAGUGGCGGUCGGGGAUGAGCGAUGGUCUUUUCCUACCAAUCUAUCCCCCUAGGAGCAUACGCGUAAUACUUUGCUUUGAUAACUUGUAGAUGUUUGCAAUAAGUAUAUGAGUUCUUUAUGACUAAUGUUGAGUCCAUGGAUUAUACGCACUCUCACCCUUCCACCAUUGCUAGCCUCUCUAGUACCGCGCAACUUUCGCUGGUACCAUAAACCCACCAUUUACCUUCCUCACAACAGCCACCAUACCUACCUAUUAUGGCAUUUCCAUAGCCAUUCCGAGAUAUAUUGCCAUGCAACUUUCCACCGUUGCAUUUAUUAUGACACGCUUCACCAUUGUCAUAUUGCUCUGCAUGAUCAUGUAGUUGACAUCGUAUUUAUGGCAAAGCCACCGUUCAUAAUUCUUUCAUACAUGUCACUCAUGAGUCAUUGCACAUCCCGGUACACCGCCGGAGGCAUUCAUAUAGAGUCAUAUCUUGUUCUAAGUAUCGAGUUGUAAUUCUUGAGUUGUAAGUAAAUAAAAGUGUGAUGAUCAUCAUUAUUAGAGCAUUGUCCCGGUGAGGAAAGGAUAAUGGAGACUAUGAUUCCCCCAUAAGUCGGGAUGAGACUCCGGACGAAAAUAAAUAAAUAAAAGAGGCCAAAGAAGCCCAAAUAAAAAAAAGGAAAAAAGAGGCCAUAAAAAAAUAGAAAAGGCCCAAACAAAAAAAUAAAAAAUAAAAUAAAAAAUGAGAGAAAAAGAGAGAAGGGACAAUGCUACUAUCCUUUUACCACACUUGUGCUUCAAAGUAGCACCAUGAUCUUCAUGAUAGAGAGUCUCCUAUGUUGUCACUUUCAUAUACUAGUGGGAAUCUUUCAUUAUAGAACUUGGCUUGUAUAUUCCAAUGAUGGGCUUCCUCAAAAUUCCCUAGGUCUUCGUGAGCAAGCAAGUUGGAUGCACACCCACUAGUUUCUUUUGUUGAGCUUUCGUACACUUAUAGCUCUAGUGCAUCCGUUGCAUGGCAAUCCCUACUCACUCACAUUGAUAUCUAUUGAUGGGCAUCUCCAUAGCCCGUUGAUACGCCUAGUUGAUGUGAGACUAUCUUCUUCUUUUUUGUCUUCUCCACAACCACCAUUCUAUUCCACCUAUAGUGCUAUGUCCAUGGCCCACGCUCAUGUAUUGCGUGAAGAUUGAAAAAGUUUGAGAACAUCAAAAGUAUGAAACAAUUGCUUGGCUUGUCAUCGGGGUUGUGCAUGAUUUAAAUAUUUUGUGUGGUGAAGAUAGAGCAUAACCAGACUAUAUGAUUUUGUAGGGAUAGCUUUCUUUGGCCAUGUUAUUUCGAGAAGACAUAAUUGCUUAGUUAGUAUGCUUGAAGUAUUAUUAUUUUUAUGUCAAUAUGAACUUUUGUCUUGAAUCUUUCGGAUCUGAAUAUUCAUAUCACAAUUAAGAAGAACUACAAUGAAAUUAUGCCAACUAGCAUUCCACAUCAAAAAUUAUCUUUUUAUCAUUUACCUACUCGAGGACGAGCAGGAAUUAAGCUUGGGGAUGCUGAUACGUCUCCAACGUAUCUAUAAUUUUUGAUUGCUCCAUGCUAUAUUAUCUACUGUUUUGAAUGUUUAUGGGCUUUAUUAUCCACUUUUAUAUUAUUUUUGGGACUAACCUAUUAACCGGAGGCCCAGCCCAGAUUUGCUGUUUUAUGCCUAUUUCAGUGUUUCGAAGAAAAGGAAUAUCAAACGGAGUCGAAACGGAACGAAAUCAACUGGAGAAGUUAUUUUUGGAAGGAAAGCCACCAGAUAGACUUGGACUCUACGUCAGAAGAUACGGGAGCUGGCCACGAGGGUGGGGGGCGCGCCCCCUGCCUCGUGGGGCCCCUGAAGCUCCACCGACGUACCCCUUGCACUCAUAUAUACCUACGUAUCGUAAAACUUCCAGAACAGAGAUUAGAUCGGGAGUUCCACCGCCAGAAGCCUCCGUAGCCACCAAAAACCAAUCUAGACCUGUUCCGGCACCCUGCCGGAGGGGGGAUCCCUCACCGGUGGCCAUCUUCAUCAUCCCGGCGCUCUCCAUGACGAGGAGGGAGUAGUUCUCCCUCGGGGCUGAGGGUAUGUACCAGUAGCUAUGUGUUUGAUCUCUCUCUCUCUCUCUCUCUCUCUCUCUCUCUCUCUCUCGUGUUCUUGAUUUGGCACGAUCUUGAUGUAUCGCGAGCUUUCCUAUUAUAGUUGGAUCUUAUGUUUCUCCUCCCCCUCUUCUCUCUUGUAAUGAAUUGAGUUUCCCCUUUGAAGUAAUCUUAUUGGAUUGAGUCUUUAAAGAUUUGAGAACACUUGAUGUAUGUCUUGCCGUGCAUAUCUGUGGUGACAAUGGGAUGCCACGUGAUUCACUUGAUGUAUGUUUUGGUGAUCAACUUGCGGGUUCAGCCCAUGAACCUAUGCAUAGGGGUUGGUACACGUUUUCGUCGUGAUUCUCCGGUAGAAACUUUGGGGCACUCUUUGAGGUCCUAUGUGUUGGUUGAAUAGAUGAAUCUGAGAUUGUGUGAUGCAUAUCGUAUAAUCAUACCCACAGAUACUUGAGGUGACAUUGGAGUAUCUAGGUGACAUUAGGUUUUUGGUUGAUUUGUGUCUUAAGGUGUUAUUCUAGUACGAACUCUAGGGUUGUUUGUGACACUUGAAAGUGCGUUAUAUCGACUAGAGGGGGGGUGAAUAGGCGGUUUUAUGAAAUUCUUCACUGAGCAAUUUGUCGGUGAGGAAAUUCCAUAGCAAAGAACUACUAGCAGCGGAAUAAGUACUCAAAAGUAAACAUAACAGAAUACAAGCAUAGUCAUCAUGAUGAAAUAAAGACAGGCACAGAGUACAGGAAGCGUAAUCACAUGAUAACACAAGAUGAAGACAAACAGACUGAAGAAAUUGAACUGAGAAAAUUGAGAAAGUCUUCAGUCAAAGUAUUCAAACACAGAUAUGAAUAAACACACAACACAGUUAUGUGGAAAUGAAAGAGUUGAGGGAAUAGAACCAGUAAGCUCGGUGAAGACAAUGAUUUGGUAGACCAGUUCCAACUGCUAUCUCAGUUGUACGUCUGGUUGGAGCGGCUGAGUAUUUAAACUCGAGGACACACAGUCCCGGACACCCAGUCCUGAACAGGCAGCUCAGGACACCCAGUCCUCACCGUAUUCUCCUUGAACUAAGGUCACACAGACCUCGUCCAAUCACUCAUGGUAAGUCUUCAGGCGACUUCCAAACGUUCACAAACUUGGUCACUCGGCGAUCCACAAUUCCUCUUGGAUGCUCUAGACCAUGACGCCUAACCGUCUGGAAGAAGCACAGUCUUCAAAGGUAACAAGUGUCAGAUCCACGCAGGAUCAAUCUCUUCAGUGAUGCUCAAUCACUUGGGGUUUGUAGGUGUUUGGGUUUUGGGUUUUUGGUUUUCCUCACUUGAUGAUUUUCGCUCAAAGUCCUCGGAGGAUGGGUUGCUCUCAAAUGACAAGUGUCAGUUUCUCUCGGAGAAGCCAACCGGCUAGUGGUUGUAGGGGUGGCUAUUUAUAGCGUAGGGAGCAGCCUGACAUGGUAAGACAUAAAUGCCCUUCAAUGAUAUGACCGUUAGGUGGAUAGAUAUUUUGGGACAGCUGGCGCAUAGCACAGCAACGGUCGGAAUUUUGAGUAGCAAAAUCCUCAGGGCUAUCAUGUUCCUCACUAUGUAGGCAAUCCGCAUUGGCGAAUUCCUAACUCCUCAGUCAGGACAAAUUCCUCAGAGACCAGAAGAACUUCGUCUCUGUCACUGAAGAAAUUGACUGAACUGUAUGAGAUUUCCAAUGCCUUCACUCGAAGGGAUUGGUAGGUGUAGGAUUUUGAGUUGAGCAUCACAUGGAAAUUUUUCCUUAGUAUUUCCUCGACCCCCUUUAACAGUACAGUGUUUCCUAUGACUCAAGAAAGAGAAAAACAAAACUAUGAAAAUGAAAGUCUUCAAGCUUCAUAUUCCUCGCAUGAAUAUCAAGUCUUCAUGGACACACCAAUUUCUUCACUUUCAAAGUCUUCAUGAAAGUCUUCAGAAAUACCAAAAUCUUCAGUCGAAGAUAUUCAUUUUUAGGGAUCAACUUUUCCUGUAAAUAUCAAACUCCUCAUAGACUUAUAGACCUAUGUACACUCACACACGCAUUAGUCCCUUAACCUAUAAGUCUUCAAUACACCAAAAUCACUAAGGGGCACUAGAUGCACUUACAAUCUCCCCCUUUUUGGUGAUUGAUGACAAUAUAGGUUAAGUUUUCAAUGGGGAUAAACAUAUGAAGUGUAAAUACUGAUAUUGAGGAAUUUGAUUGCAAGAUAUAGAAGAACUCCCCCUGAAGAUGUGCAUAGUGAGGAAUUUGCUUUUGAAGCAAUGCACACUUGAAGAGUUGAAUCAUGGAGAUCUCCCCCUAUAUCUUGUAAUUCAUACACGCAUUUAACAUACAAUAUGAAGAGUUUGAAAUGCAUGAUGAAAUAUGGUGCCUGAUGAAAUUCAGCAUGCGUGCAAUAAUAUCAACGAGGAAUAAGCAUGCAGAAUAGUGCAUCAAGAGUGUCAGAGCACAGUGCAUAAAAAGUAUCAGAGCACCACCGGGUUUAAGAUUACAACUCGAUCCAAUAAAGUUUCAGAAGAACGAGAGCUGUAACUUAGCAAAAAAAACGUUGUAUAUGGGCGAUAAAAUAGACCCGCUUGAAGACUAACUCAAAUUUCUCCCCAUUUGUCAUCAAAUGACCAAAAGGAUCGAAACUGAGGACUAACGCCCCUAAAGAUAAUCAAGUUGAUGAAGGAGCGCCAGCGUUGUUGGUGUUGUUGGUUGAUGUAGGGCCUGCCGUAGUGUCGUCUAAAUCUUCAUGUUCAUCAGUGUCGCGCGAUGAAGAAUAUGAGCUGGCCACCAGAGAAGGAACCUUGACCUUCUUGAAUUUCUUCGGUGGAGGUGCAGACCAGUCAAAAUCUUCAUUAAGACCCAUGUUCUUCGGAUCUUCUUCACCAUACAGAUGUGACAGGAUUGCCCAGGUGCGACCGAAGACUUGAUGGAGGUAGUAGUGGUUUUUCUUCACUGCAUUGUGUGUGGCAGUCAUGUUGUGAAGAAGUGAACCAAACUAACGCUUAACCCAUUUGUGAUUUCGAUCCACCUUAUAGUGAAGACUAAGCAGAAGUUCACGGUCUAUCAGCACGCGCGGAGAAGUGGCUUGAGGAGUGGACUUGGGAGCAUUGGUAGAGUCAUCAUUGGUGGAAUAAGAUGCAGCUUUGCGAAACUGACCAUCCAAUGGACGAAUGCCUUCAUCAAUUACAGCUGGUGCCUUGCCCUUUCCAUCAACUGAGGAAUAUGUCUGCUUGAGGACUUCAAUUGGGGGCAAGUAGCUGAGAUGAUUCUAGAAAUCAGCUUUGUAGUUUAGUGAAGACCUUGCCCUGAGGAAUUUCAUGAUCCAAGGUGCAUAAGGCUUCAGCUCAAACGGAGACAGUGCAACAUUGGCCAUAGUCCUCAUGAAGAAAUCAUGAUAGUUGACAGGAAUGCCAUGAACGAUGUUGAAUACUUGAUUCUUCAUGAUGCCAACAAUUUCCUCAUCAGAUGAGUCGUGACCUUUGAUAGGACUGAUUGUCCUCGUAAGAAUAUGAUAGACAGUUCUGGGCACGUACAGCAAUUCCUUCACAAGGAAUUUUGUUCGUGGUGCCUGACCUGGUUUCAAAGGCUUCAUCAGCACUUGCAUGUAAUGAUGUGUGAGCUCAGGUUCACUGUAGAUGCAGCGAGCUUCUUCAAGGGGAGGACUGAGUGGUAGAGCACACAACAAUUCAGAGGCUGGUGCAGUGUAGUGAGUGUUUUCAGACAUCCAGUCCAGCACCCAUGAAUUCACAUCUUCAGCAUUUCCGGUGAUGUGCAGCAUUGCAUAGAAUUUAAGAAUCAGUUCUUCAUUCCAAUCGCAGAUGUCAGAGCAAAAAGUUGAGCAGUCCAGCGUCAUGAAGAACACUGAGGACUGGUGUGAAGCACGGCAGAGAUUCCAUAUCCAUGUGAGGAAUAUGCUCAUGGUAGAAAAUCUCCUCCUUGUUGAACAGCACUGAGGAAUAGAAAUUGGCUUGACUAGCAGUCCAGAAACGCCUCUUCCUAAUGCGAGCAGAGUCAUAAGGGUUGUAAUCUUCGAAGAAUACGUGCUCACCGAAGAAAUCAUCAGCCUUGAACUUUUGCUUGCGUGAGAAUGGAUCCUUUGGCUUUGGCAGAGGAGUGUAAGUGAGUUGCAUCACGACCUCAGGAAUCUCAAUCGCAGGUUCUUCAGGCUGAGGAAUUUCUGGUUCUUCCUCAGUGGCAGUCUGCGUUGUUGGUUGUUCAGCAGCAGCAGUUUCUUCAGCGCUAGUGGCUGGAAUUUCCUCAUGGACAGAUGCAGUGGGAUGAGUUUCUUCAGAGCCCAUGUGAACAGUUUGUGUGGGGGACUGAGGAAUUUGCUAUAGAGGGGUGAACAUUGGAG
rnacentral:lncRNA from 1 species